rnacentral:rRNA from 1 species
UACGUAGGUGGCCAGCGUUGUCCGGCUUUACUGGGCGUAAAGAGCGCGCAGGCGGUCGUUCAAGUCGCGUGUGAAAGCCCCCGGCUCAACUGGGGAGGGUCACGCGAUACUGAUCGACUCGAAGGCAGGAGAGGGUAGUGGAAUUCCCGGUGUAGUGGUGAAAUGCGUAGAUAUCGGGAGGAACACCAGUGGCGAAGGCGACUACCUGGCCUGUUCUUGACGCUGAGGCGCGAAAGCUAGGGGAGCAAACGGG